GAUGAGCGCUGGCGGCGUGCCUAACACAUGCAAGUCGAGCGGAGAUAAGAAGAGUACUUGUACAAAUUUUAUCUUAGCGGCGGACGGGUGAGUAACACGUGAGUAACCUGCCUUUCACUGGGGAAUAACAUCGAGAAAUCGGUGCUAAUACCGCAUAACGUCACGAGAUCGCAUGGUUUUGUGACCAAAGGAGAAAUCCGGUGACAGAUGGACUCGCGUCCGAUUAGGUAGUUGGUGAGGUAAUGGCCCACCAAGCCUACGAUCGGUAGCCGAACUGAGAGGUUGAUCGGCCACAUUGGGACUGAGACACGGCCCAGACUCCUACGGGAGGCAGCAGUGGGGAAUAUUGGGCAAUGGGGGAAACCCUGACCCAGCAACGCCGCGUGAAGGAAGAAGGUCUUCGGAUUGUAAACUUCUUUGAUCAGGGACGAACAAAAUGACGGUACCUGAAGAACAAGCCACGGCUAACUACGUGCCAGCCGCCGCCGUAA
rnacentral:rRNA from 1 species